rnacentral:rRNA from 1 species
GAUGAACGCUAGCGGCAGGCCUAAUACAUGCAAGUCGAGCGGCAAGUUGAGAAGCAAUUCGAGACCUAGAGCGGCGUACGGGUGCGUAACGCGUAUGCAACCUACCUCAUACAGGGGGAUAGCCCGGAGAAAUCUGGAUUAAUACCCCAUAGUACAUAUAGAGGGCAUCUGAAAUAUGUUAAAGAUUCAUCGGUAUGAGAUGGGCAUGCGUCUGAUUAGCUAGUUGGCGGUGUAACGGACCACCAAGGCGACGAUCAGUAGGGGUUCUGAGAGGAAGGUCCCCCACACUGACACUGAGAUACGGGCCAGACUCCUACGGGAGGCAGCAGUAGGGAAUAUUGGGCAAUGGUCGGAAGACUGACCCAGCCAUGCCGCGUGCAGGAAGAAGGCCCUCUGGGUUGUAAACUGCUUUUAUCUGGGAGGAAAAGGCCCGUGCGCGGGACAUUGCCGGUACCAGAUGAAUAAGCACCGGCUAACUCCGUGCCAGCCGCCGCAGUAAGAC